CACAAGAUUUAUUUGAUGACUUUCAGGUUGAUAACGAAGAGUUGACGCUAAUCGAGGAUUCAUUGAUGAUUGAUGAUGCUUCUUCGGACAACAAGAAAAAACAGCUACUGUCAGUCAGCAGUGAUGAUGCUUCUUCGGACAACAAGGAAAAACAGCUGCUGUCAGUCAGCAGUGAUUUUAUUUCUUUAGAAGAAGAAGAGAAAGAAAACAUAUCAAAUGGCGGGCAGACCCCCGAAAAAACAUUUAUCCAUGGACAGUGGCAACCACGAAUAUCUCAGUCAGCGGCUGAUAAAGUAAUUGCAAGGAUGUAUAAUUAUUCCUUUUCUGAUCGGGAACGAUAUUAUCUCCGGCUAUUACUUCUUCACGUCAAAGGGCCGACUUGCUUCAGAGAUGUUAGAACUUAUUAAUAUGAAAAUAUUAUUUACACAUCAUUUCGAGAAGCUGCUCAAGCAAGGGGGCUACUUUUUGACGAUCAAGAAUGGGAAAGGUGUUUGGAUGAAGCAAUUGGUUUGAAACUUCCUCGGCAAUUACGACAGCUGUUUGCGUUAAUUUGCGUGUUUUGUGAAGUAACUGAUCCUAAUGCUCUUUGGGAAAAAUUUGCAUCACAUUUUAUCGAAAACUUUACAAGAUCCCGCCCUGAAAUAUUAUCCAAACAGUUGGCUUUACAAGAAAUUGAUGAAAUAUUAAAACUCCACGGAAAGAGACUAACAGAUUUCGGACUUCCGGAGCCAGAUAUUGAUGAAAAUAGUAUUUUCUUAUCUGAUCCCGUUUCUGACUAUUAAUAAGAGUU